rnacentral:rRNA from 1 species
CACGAAACAAAGUGAGCUAACUUUAAAUAUUAUUAGAAUAAGUAGUGUAGCAUAACAUUAUAAAUUAAAAGUUAGGGGUGAUAGGCUUUUCAAAAUUUGUGAUAACUUGAUGUUAUUUAAAUGUAUAAAGUACGAAAUCAAUUAGUGGAUGAGAAGGUCUUCUAAGUAUAUUAAGUUUUACAAGGUUUUAUUGUAUAGCAUAAUAGUUAACAGUUAAUAAUUUAACUAUUUAAAUAGUAGUUUUAUAAAAAUUAAAUAACACUUAACUAAUAAUUUAAUUAAUUUAUUAUGUUUUUAUAAGUAAUUAAUAGAUAUUUUAAAUGAACUCGGCAAUAUAUUUACCAACUGUUUAUCAAAAACAUUGCUAUUAGAAGUAUUAGUAGUUUUUUCUGCUCAAUGAAUUUUAAAUAGCCGCAGUACCCUGACUGUGCAAAGGUAGCAUAAUCAGUUGGCUUAUAAUUGAAGUCUAGAAUGAAUGAAUGAAUGUGUAAAUAACUGUAUCACGAAUAUAACAUAAAAUUACUCAGAUAGUGAAAAUACUAUCAUCUAAAUAAUAGACGAGAAGACCCUAGAAAUUUUUAUAAACUGUAAAUUAUGGUUUUUGUUGGGGCAACAGUGUAUCAAAAUAUACAGUAUAGACAUGAAAUUUUUUUGAUAGAUUAAAUUACUCUAGGGAUAACAGCGUAAUACGAAAGUGUUUGCGACCUCGAUGUUGGAUUAGGAAGUAAAUGUUUAG